AUUGAACGCUGGCGGCAUGCCUUACACAUGCAAGUCGAACGGGUUUUGGGGCUUGCUCCCAAGAUUAGUGGCGAACGGGUGAGUAAUGCAUCGGAACGUACCCAGAAGUGGGGGAUAACGUAGCGAAAGUUACGCUAAUACCGCAUAUUCUCUGAGGAGGAAAGCAGGGGCUCGCAAGACCUUGUGCUUUUGGAGCGGCCGAUGUUGGAUUAGCUAGUUGGUGAGGUAAAGGCUCACCAAGGCGACGAUCCAUAGCUGGUCUGAGAGGAUGAUCAGCCACACUGGGACUGAGACACGGCCCAGACUCCUACGGGAGGCUG
rnacentral:rRNA from 1 species